GUCAGACGCUGGGAGGUUGGUGCCCCGCCAUGCUUUUCUGUCUUUUGUCUUUUCACCCUCUCCCCUCCCCACCCAGUGCCCCGUCUAAGUCCCCACUCGGAAGUGGCUUCUCACCCCUCGCGGCCCUUUGUGGGCAAAGCCAGGAGGAGGAAGGCCGCAACCUCCCGCUGGCUUUGGGAUUUCUUAGACAUCAGUAGUCUCCUAAGGCCCUCCACCCUGCCCGCACCCCUCCUUCAUCCUCGCGUCUCUUGGGACCCUGCCCUGCUGCCCUCAGGCCUUUCCUUAGUCACAGACUCGGAGAGGCCCCUGAACCCCCUCGGCUUGGACAUCACCGGCCACAGUCCUGUGACGCCCUGUGAUCUUCUGUCCCAGAUCUCAUUCCACUGGCUGUGCCUGUCAGGGUGUGCUUAGAUUUUGGAGUCCCAAUCAAAACUCCCUUCAUUCCAACUUCCACCAAAACCGCUUCUCUGGAUCUAUCCCUGGAGUUGACACAACAGGGAUCUUCAGCCCCAGAGGCUUUUCCUAUUGGUGCAUGUGUGUGAUAAGAGAUGGUGAUCACAGGAAAGAGUUUGCUUUUUCAGGAGCUCAUCCACAUGAGAAGGAGGGACAUCUAAUUUGGCCCGAGGACUUUAGGAGAAGAUGCUGAUUUUCCAGACAGUGCAGAAGAAAACUCGUAGGAACAGCCCAGAAAAUGAAGUCGUUAGUGCUGUUUCAGAAAAAAUAUCCGGGAGACGCGCAGGGAAUCUCACUCCUCAGCAGGUAGGGCUGUGAACAGGAGCAUUUUCCUUAAGAUGGAUGCAGCCCGAUUUGCCCCAAAGCCAGGGCGGCGCCUCCUCCUCCCUGGCCUGAGGAAGGGAAGUUCCCUUCUUCCCUGGAGAUCUGGCCCCGCUUCCGCAAGCAGAAUGCGCAUGAGCCCCGCACGACCAGAAAGCGAGUUCCAUUGCCCUCUGCCGACUAUGGGCUUGCAGCGCGGGACUCCUGGCCUUCGCUGUUUAGCGGUUCACCUGCGUCUGAAUCGCUGAAAUUCCAGUUUUAUCAGUACCUUCCUUUUGGAAGAUCAAAUGCAAAUGGAGCACGGUAUCUUUUUUCUUUUUCUUUCUCUUUUUCUUUUUCUUUUUUUUUUUUUAUGAAAGAGGAUGGAAAUAAAGAAGCAAAGUCGAAAGACCGUAUAAAAUAGUCUGUUGAUUCCCUGUAUGUGGAGGAAAGAGGAGCUCGAAUAAAAGAAGCAUUCUGUGUGAUGCUUUAAUGCC